AGAGCGGGGAUAGUGUGUAUCGGUGUUGUGCUGCGAUCAAUGCACCCUUCCGAAAGAGUUCCCCGCAAUAUCAUCUUGAGAGAAUGGGCAGUUGUGUUUCACUUCUCAUUGAAAAUCACAACAAUCAUUUUCCCUACACUU
rfam:Cajanus cajan chromosome 11, whole genome shotgun sequence.